UCACCCCCUAGAUGACAUUGCUAUACCAGCCAAAGAUUCCAGGUUGGACCUGAUGUAAGAGAGUGCCUGAAGUUAGUUUCCAAGGCAAGGUCUAAGAGUCAGGCAGACAAAUGCCAUAUGAGAAACCGAUCUGGGCACUAAAGAGACAUUUCCUGAUGUACAUUAACCGAUAUGCCAAUAAAAAAGGGGUCAAAAGUCCACCUGAGCUCGACAGGCCAGCGGGCUAGCAUGGUUCAGAUAUGCCAAUUGCUGUAACGAACAGCACACUUGUGAGUGGUGUGGCUAGCAUCAUGGUCAGUCACCUUUGACUGUGCAGCGCAAUGACCAGGUACCUAUUUGCAUCUGGCAUGACUGGAGGCAGCCUUCAAUGUGAAUCUGGAAGUGGUCUCCUUUUAACUGUCACUGUUAAAACAGCGUAAAGAAGAAUUCUCUUUGCAGUGACUGUGUACAGAGCUGCCAAUUUUUUAACAGAAAAUAGCUUCAGUGAAAAUAUUCAGUUUUGGUGGAGACAAGGCCACCUACACAUCUUUUCCUUUCUUCCCCCACCUCCCCCUUUCCAGUCAUUAAUUUACUAGCAGCAGCUGUGAUUGUCUGGAGAUACAGAACGAAGCACAAGAAGACCAUGCUGUAUCUCAUACCUAUGCUGUUAGUUCAGCAAUAUUAGAGGAUUAUUUUUUAAGACUUUCCCCUGUUGUAUGGAGGGCUGGAAUUGAAAAGAGGAACUUAAGAAGAUUGUCAUGCAGUAUAUUUGUUAUUCAUUUUGUUGUUGUCACAGCACGUAGGAUUUGUGUGCAUUUAAGAUAACAACUUAGCUAUGUUCCCUUCACUUUUUUACUUAUAUUUGCUGGUUGAUGGGGUGCCAAAAUACAAAAUACAGCAACUGAAUCAAAGAAGGCUUAAAGUAAAUACCAUUGAGAAUACAGGGCAAACCAUGCAAUGAUGGUGAGGUGGGCAGAGGGAGGGGCCACAUGCUGUUUUAACAGAUGCCUCUCCUAAAUGAGGAAAGACUGGAGAAACCAGCUGCCUUGACGAAAAAUCCUUCCAUAUGUCACCAAACACUUGAGUUGUCACCAGUCCUUUCUUUUACAGGACUGUUGCAUUCGGUUUUUAUUUGCCUAUACCUUUUAUAGUGUUGUAAAGGGGUUCCAGUCAUUAGUUAUCAUUAUGUGGCUUUCCGCACUGCGUAGCUGAUUAUUUUGUCUCAUUUACAGUUUCAGUACCAGUUUGGACUGAUCAGUACAUGCCUGGUAGACUUGUCCUCAAACUGCAAUUUAUAUUGCAUCUGCAUAUAGUGAGUUUGCCUUACAUCUUCUUGUUCUCCUCCUUACGGGCCUUCUUCUCACAUACCCACAAAACAAGACGCUGUGGCUGCAGGCACAGACACUUAUAUCCUUUAUCUGUGCCCAAGCACAAGCACAUUACUAUCUACCUUCUCUCAUUAGGAACCUAGGAAUUGUCAUAUCAGAUCAAAACAAUAGUUUAUGUAGUUCAGGAUGCUACAGGCCAUCCAUUUCACCCCUCCAUCCUCCAUUUCAUGCUUCUAAAGGGAACAGUCCAUCAGACAGUUACAGCUGCCACCGUUCCAGCAGUCCACUCUAGUGUCAUAUUAUGCACAGCAAAAUGCAGAUGUCAUUUCAGCACAUGCUAGUCUACUUCUGCUGGUAGGCACAGGUAAUGAUAGCAAAGAAGACCCAUUAGCCACACUGACAUACACUAGUUUCAUGCCCAGAGUCACUGGCAAGUCUGUACUCCAGUUGUCAGCAGAUGCUAAAGCCAUGCCACAACAUCUUUACUACUAUUAUUUUCCAUGCUGGCUAGAUUAAGCAAGCACAUACUACACAGUCAGAUCCUCAUGCUGCUUGAAGACAUACCCUCAAUCACUGCUCCUUGUUUAGGGAAAAGGGGCACUGGACUAAGUGUCAGGGGUCUUCGGUUCAGCCCUUGCUGUACUUGAUACCUAGAACAAGUCACUUCACUUCUCUGGGCCUCUCCUUUCAGCAUCCCUGUUUGUUAAAUAAUGUUUUUGUAGUAUCCAAAACUACUUCUUCAUUUCCCAUCUGGCACCGAUUUACAAUACAGCUUUAAAGGACACUGUCAAGAACUCUAAUGUAGUUUUACUCUUUUAAAGUCUAUUGUUUGCAUUAUCCCGUCUAAAAGGCUGAGAAUAAAAUUUCUCCCACUAUUGAUUUGUUUCUUUUCUAUUUGGCAAAUAUUGAUUUUUUUUCCCUUGUGUUUUUAAUGGAGCUUGAAAUUAACACAAAUCUGUUUGUUCUCUUCCUUGUUUGCAUUAGCAUAGUUUAAGCAGCAAAAUUAGGUAGACAUUACCUUGGAAACAGAACAUAGUGUUACCAACCAUUUUGUGUAGGACCUACACAUACAGAAGUAUUGAAACACAAUUCCUCUGCAGCAGUGAUGGAUGUUGCUAUCACCUGGUACUUUGAAUCUGGAAGACAAACUGGGAUAAUCUUAAGGUAUGUUACAUUUAAUGUUUCGAUUACCAUACCAAGUUCUUACAGAUCCUUCUUCUUUUUGGAAAACAGUGUUUCAGCAUUUCCUUUUUCCCCAAAAUCUGUAGUUACAAAGUGAAUAAAAGUUACUUGGCAUAGCUGUAUAUUCCUUAAAAAUAGAGCAUUAUUUUGUAAAGGUUGCAAGGCACAAGUCACUAACUCUGUGUAUAUGUCUACAGAAACUGCACAGCCAGAAGCGGUGGUAUGUCAUUCUGGUGAAAAUAUUUAGGCCACCACUGCAGUCCAGCAAUUGCUACUAGAGGGCAACAAAGGCAAGCAUAGUCUAAAAAGAUCUGAAAUAUCAUCCAGCAGAGGGCAAUAGUAGGCAUGCUUGAAACACUGGUAAGUGUAGGGCAUGCACUACACUAGCACGGAAGUGAGAACACUGAUGUCCAAAUUUACCAACUUUGCUAAGCAAACCCAACAGGAACUUGUCUCUGAUCCAGCUAGUAACAGCUGUGCCAAGCCUGUACUGGAUGGAAAUUGUUCACUGUAGAUUUUAAAUAGUGUUCAUCUUUAUCAGUUACUUCAGAAUAGGAUAUGACUCUUUUUCUGGUGUAAUAUUACAGUAACCUCAAAACAAAAAUAUCUAAUGGAACACUGUCAUUCCUGUAUGUUCAUAUCCUUUUUGACCAGGAUCCUAAAGGUAUUUGUAAUCUUCUUGUUCAGUUUUUAAUAAAGAAAAUAAAUAAAAAUAACAACAUGCUUGAAGGAGAGUUGAUAUGCAGUUCUGCUGAGGUUUUUGUUUUGGUGACUUGUCUCUGGCUCACAGUAUCACCUAGUAAAUGAAACUUCUAGCUUUACAAAUUGCUGACUCGCUGGUUACUAAUUUACUCAAGUGUGUCUUCAGUGGCUGGGAGCAGAGACAACAAAAAGCAAACAGUAACACUUAUUGUAAUUUCCAUGUUGGUGUAUGCAGUAUAAUAGAUGGUUAGCAACUGAAGGGCAGUUAGUGAGGCAAAGUAGAAGUGAUGUGUGUGCAGGAUGUAAUUACAGCAGUAAUGUAAUAACAUUCCAUGUUAGAUUAUUAUGGGGUCUGUUCUGUCCUUGACUUGCAUGCAUAACUCCCAUUAAUGAUAAUUGAGGUUAUGCACGUGAAUCACCAGCUGAGCAGAUCCCUAAAUUAAUUACAUGUAAAAUACCUGUUUAGUUGUCUUAAAUGCACUGAUAUAUUUGCCCAAUACAAAUGUUUACAGUCAAGACAGAACUACCAUGGGGAAGAGAAGAAGGGUGGGGAAGAAUGCAGUGAUUUAAAAUUCAGGUUGAAUAAUCAGAUUUUGACAAAUGGCCUUGAUGAGGAAAGAUUGGCUCUUGGCCAUCCCUGUCAAAUGCUUUCUGUACUUUCUUCAGAAAAAACAGUUCUGGUAGAAUGAACAAGCGAAUUCUGCUUUUCUGUAGCAUGUUUCAUGGACGAGCUGUGGCAAACCACAAUCCUCUGGACAUGAACACUUUGAUCAAGCAGAUGUGAUGACAAGUGGACAACCCAGUGAUGAUGCCUGUGCAUAUGGUAGGAGAUGCUUGGGUCUGAAAUUUAAACUGCAUGUUUUAAUGAUGGGUCUCAUUCUGCAAACAGUUAUGCACAAGUGGUAGGGGGAAUGCUGUGUAGGGGACUGAAUUCAUCCUCUCAUUCUUUCCCUCAUUUAUUUCUUUAAAGUACAGCAAACUCUUUAGCCUCCAUUUUGAUGACCCCUAGAAAUGGGCACAAUAAGCAUUCCUAAAAUGUUUCACUUGGAAGUACAGCAAUGAACUCCCUCUGACAUCCCCACCUCUAGCAUCAAUCUGUUUAUAUACUGUAAUUAGAGUAGGGCAGGAGUUGUCAACCUUUUCCAUAAGGGGACUUGUUUUUUUUACCCUGGGAACUCCUUGAAAUCCCCUUCUCAGCUAACCAGGUCUAGAUGGGAUUCCCCAACCAUUUGGCAACACAAGAAGGGCAGGGUGGUCAGACCCCUCUGACACCUGUUUGUGACCCCUUGCAGGCAAAGGCAGUCCUGGUGAUAAGAGUUCCUGCAGUUAAAGCAGCCUCUCUCCAGGCUAAGAACUGAUAACCUACAACAAGAUAUCUGAUCCUUAAAACCCCUACUGACAUAAAGUGAAUUGUCUGAAGUCAACAGUAGCCAAGAGGGCUCUGAUCUCCUGAAACUGAGGUGAUGUAUUUACUGGUAAUAGUUGCGUUAAAUAUUUACAGUAAGAGAGCAGUUAGGAGUCUCUUAUGCCAGUUGGCAUACUAACACAGACAGGAAUGGCAUCUGUGUGUCCCACAAAGGUAAAAACUACAAUCUAUGAAAUUUUAGGUGGAAAAAAAUAUAGAUAGGUGGCAUCCCAAUUAUGAAUUUAGAUGUCUAAUUUUAAGCUUUUCAAUUUAAAAGUGUUGGCCUAUGCAUUUGCUUCAGAAACCGCCACUUGUUAAUCUGUUGGUUUUACUCAGAUGAAUAAUCCCUAACCUGAACUAGUCUCUGAAUAGAGGUCAUGCUUAUAGAAGCCCUAGUAAAAAAAAAAAAAAAAAGUGUGUGGGGGGGGCAUAUUGCACAUAACAGCUGUUGGCUUUAAACACAUGCUGAAGCACUUGGCUGAGCUGGAGUUUUUAAAAGUUGCUAUGAGCCCAUCCUCCAUUUCUUAAAUACUUUCCAUUUAAAAACAUACAAUUAAAGAUGAAGGAAAAUGAAUACAUCACAAAAUUCUUAGCAUCCUGACAGGGCAUUGCCACUGUAGUGCAAUCACCUGAAAGGAAGGGGAAAUGGCAGUUCAGGCUGGCACUAUGCCCUUGUGUAGGCCUGUGUUGGCUAGGACUGAAACACAUCAGUGCAAUCUUUUCAGAAACCAGCUAUGCCUUGGCACUGGCCAUUUAACAUGCAGCAGAGUUUACACGCGUGCACUGCAACAAUUACAGGCCACAAUCCUGAUCUUACUGAAUUCAAGAGCAAAAGUCCUAUUAUUUUGGGGGGAGGGAGGUGGAAUCAAGCCAAAGACGUCUAACUACAUGGAGUGCUAUAUACACAAAGGACUUUGUGCUACCUCUGGCUAUGCUCCUGUCUCUUUCUCAUGUCAUUUUGAAUGGCUCGAAUGAUUAGGGACAGAAAUAUUUUGCAAUUCAAAAUUUUGA